AUUGAACGCUGGCGGCAUGCCUUACACAUGCAAGUCGAACGGCAGCAUGGGGAGCUUGCUCUCUGAUGGCGAGUGGCGAACGGGUGAGUAAAGCAUCGGAACGUACCGUGUAGUGGGGGAUAACGUAGCGAAAGUUACGCUAAUACCGCAUACGCACUGAGGUGGAAAGCAGGGGAUCGCAAGACCUUGCGCUAUACGAGCGGCCGAUGUCAGAUUAGCUAGUUGGUAGGGUAAAGGCCUACCAAGGCGACGAUCUGUAGCGGGUCUGAGAGGAUGAUCCGCCACACUGGGACUGAGACACGGCCCAGACUCCUACGGGAGGCAGCAGUGGGGAAUUUUGGACAAUGGGGGAAACCCUGAUCCAGCCAUGCCGCGUGAGUGAAGAAGGCCUUCGGGUUGUAAAGCUCUUUCGGCUGGGAAGAAAUCGCACAGGCUAAUACUCUGUGUGGAUGACGGUACCAGCAUAAGAAGCACCGGCUAACUACGUGCCAGCCGCCGCCGUAA
rnacentral:rRNA from 1 species